rnacentral:rRNA from 1 species
GUUGAUUCUGCCGGACCCGACUGCUAUCAGAGUGGGACUAAGCCAUGCGAGUCAACAUAGCAAUAUGUGGCAUACGGCUCAGUAACACGUAGUCAACAUGCCCAGGGGACGUGGAUAACCUCGGGAAACUGAGGAUAAACCGCGAUAAGUCACUACUUCUGGAAUGGGUAAUGACUCAAAUCUAUAUGGCCCCUGGAUUGGACUGCGGCCGAUCAGGCUGUUGGUGAGGUAAUGGCCCACCAAACCUGUAACCGGUACGGGCUCUGAGAGGAGGAGCCCGGAGAUGGGCACUGAGACAAGGGCCCAGGCCCUAUGGGGCGCAGCAGGCGCGAAACCUCUGCAAUAGGCGAAAGCUUGACAGGGUUACUCUGAGUGAUUUCCGUUAAGGAAAUCUUUUGGCACCUCUAAAAAUGGUGCAGAAUAAGGGGUGGGCAAGUCUGGUGUCAGCCGCCGCGGUAAUACCAGCACCCCGAGUGGUCGGGACGUUUAUUGGGCCUAAAGCAUCCGUAGCCGGUUCUACAAGUCUUCCGUUAAAUCCAACUGCUUAACAGGUGGGCUGCGGAAGAUACUAUAGAGCUAGGAGGCGGGAGAGGCAAGCGGUACUCGAUGGGUAGGGGUAAAAUCCGUUGAUCCAUUGAAGACCACCAGUGGCGAAGGCGGCUUGCCAGAACGCGCUCGACGGUGAGGGAUGAAAGCUGGGGGAGCAAACCGGAUUAGAUACCCGGGUAGUCCCAGCUGUAAACGAUGCAGACUCGGUGAUGAGUUGGCUAUAUGCCAACUCAGUGCCGCAGGGAAGCCGUUAAGUUUGCCGCCUGGGGAGUACGGUCGCAAGACUGAAACUUAAAGGAAUUGGCGGGGGAGCACCACAAGGGGUGAAGCCUGCGGUUCAAUUGGAGUCAACGCCGGA